rnacentral:rRNA from 1 species
AAUGAACGCUGGCGGCAGGCCUAACACAUGCAAGUCGAACGGGUCCUUCGGGACUAGUGGCGGACGGGUGAGUAACGCGUGGGAACGUGCGCCUUGGUACGGAAUAGCCCCGGGAAACUGGGAGUAAUACCGUAUGUGGUCGAGAGACGAAAGAUUUAUCGCCGAGGGAUCGGCCCGCGUUGGAUUAGGUAGUUGGUGGGGUAAUGGCCUACCAAGCAGACGAUCCAUAGCUGGUUUGAGAGGAUGAUCAGCCACACUGGGACUGAGAUACGGCCCAGACUCCUAAGGGAGGCAGCAGUGGGAAAUCUUAGACAAUGGGGGAAACCCUGAUCUAGCCAUGCCGCGUGAUCGAUGAAGGCCUUAGGGUUGCAAAGAUCUUUCAGGUGGGAAGAUAAUGACUGUACCACCAGAAGAAGCCCCGGCUAACUCCGUGCCAGCAGCCGCCGUAA